UGAAAAUGGGCUUCAAAUGAAAUAGACGAAUUUAGUCAUUUACUUAUAAUAAUAGCAAUGGUUGUAUCUCUUAGUAAUCUACUAAUCUUGUUUGGAUGGCAGAAUAUUGUAAAUUUAAUUGUUUGUAGAGCGGUGAGGUAACAGUCCAGUACUUAUGGAUGAGCGAGCCACUUAUUGGUAACUACCUCAUAACAUUGAGUUUAUAGGUUUGUUAUAUUUUCAUGUAUAAUUUUAUUCUAUAGAUGUCUCAUACAAUAAGUUAUUAUAUCUGUGAGAC
rnacentral:lncRNA from 1 species